CAAAUACCUUAAUGCUUAAAUUGCUCAACGCACACAUCUCUCCCCCAAUCGAAUGUGUUCCAUCUCUGCCUUUUUGGUGGGAGAUGCAACAUCUGCAGGCAACAUUUUGAUCCCUGUCCCUAUAGGUUAUAACUAAAUUGACGUCGAUAACGACGAUGUUAAGAGGUUUCAAAACCCUAUUUCACAUCUGUGCGAGUUCUCCGCUGCUGUCUCUUGAUCGGAGGUUCUUCAAUCCUCACGUUGGUUCACAUCUGUGCCGUGGUAGUUCGAUUUCUGGUUUCCGCUGCGGACUUUCUUUGGGGUGAUGCAAGCAUUGAUGAACUCAAAGGAUUGUCGUGCGUUGCUGCCUCUGCCAUUAACGGUGAAAGCAGAGGAGGGAAGGGCAUGAAAGGAAUCAACAGAGCUGUUUUGGGUUAAGAUAGUUCUAAUUGUGAUCCCGUGAGUCUCAAUUCUCAUUCUUUUCAUACACGAUGCCUACACUCCUCUUUUAAUUUUCAACUUUUUUUUUUUUUUCUUUUCAAUUCCUAGAUCGUAUGAUAUGUUUCAUAUCCUUUUGUUUCUUGUUUAUUUUGAGAGGAUUGGUUUUCCUUCUAUUUUAUUCUCUUACAGAAUAGUUUUUCCAUUUUUUGUUUUCCAAUCCCUCUAUCAUGUGUAUGAGGCACGACCGCACGAGCAUGAGACAAGUUGGGGAUUCUGAUUUCUCAACCCGUACGGGAAUCUCCUUCCCGGAGAACCGGGCCGAGAUCCGUAGUGGUUUCAAUAAUUGGAAACCAUCACCGUCCGCUGCAGCGGUGGGUCUUCGACCCUAACGACAGCCAGAGACUCGAAUUUGAUGCGAAGGUGUUCGGUUAUAACCUAACGAGGAGCAAGAACUAUAAUCGCAAGGGCUUUGGCCACAAAGAAGAAACACUCGAGCUCAUAAUCGUGAGUAUACCGAAGAUAUCUUCCACAGAUCCUCUCUCUGACACUCUUUCCUUCCGUUCACUCGUAUCUUCAACAUACGCACUUGUAUUGUCAACAUCGUUGACGGCCGCGAUUGUGCAGGGAUAAAGAAGGGCUGAUGGGUGCGUAGAAAAUCCUCUAAAAUCCAUGAUGAAGGU